CCUACGGGAGGCAGCAGUGGGGAAUAUUGCACAAUGGGGGGAACCCUGAUGCAGCGACGCCGCGUGAGUGAAGAAGUAUUUCGGUAUGUAAAGCUCUAUCAGCAGGGAAGAAAAUGACGGUACCUGACUAAGAAGCCCCGGCUACCUACGUGCCAGCAGCCGCGGUCAUACUGCGGGGGCAAGCGUUAUCCGGAUUUACUGGGUGUAAAGGGAGCGCAGACGGCUGUGCAAGUCUGGAGGGAAAGGCGGGGGCCCAACCCCCGGACUGCGCUGGAAACUGUAAAGCUGGAGUGGAGGAGAGGUAAGCGGAAGUCCUGGUGUAGCGGUGAAAUGCGUAGAUAUUAGGAGGAACACCAGUGGCGAAGGCGGCUUACUGGACUGCAACUGACGUUGAGGCUCGAAAGCGUGGGGAGCAAACAGGAUUAGAUACCCGGGUAGUC
rnacentral:rRNA from 1 species